rnacentral:rRNA from 1 species
ACCUACGGGACGCAGCAGUGAGGAAUAUUGGUCAAUGGGCUUACGCCUGAACGAGCAAUGCCGCGUGAACGAGGAAGGUCUUCGGAUCGUAAAGUUCUGUUGAAGGGGAAAAAGAGCGGAGAGAGGAAAUGGUCUCCGAUUGAUAUUACCCUUCGAGGAAGUCACGGCUAACUACGUGCCAGCAGCCGCGGUAAUACGUAGGUGGCGAGCGUUAUCCGGAAUGAUUGGGCGUAAAGGGUGCGUAGGCGGCCUGCUAAGUCUGGAGUGAAAGGUACCGGCUCAACCGGUACAGGCUCUGGAAACUG